AUUGAACGCUGGCGGCAGGCCUAACACAUGCAAGUCGAACGAGUGGCGGACGGGUGAGUAAUGUCUGGGAAACUGCCUGAUGGAGGGGGAUAACUACUGGAAACGGUAGCUAAUACCGCAUACCAUCAGAUGUGCCCAGAUGGGAUUAGCUUGUUGGUGGGGCAACGGCUCACCAAGGCGACUAUCCCUAGCUGGUCUGAGAGGAUGCCCAGCCACACUGUAACUGAGACACGGUCCAGACUCCUACGAGAGACAGCAGUGGUGAAUAUUACACAAUAGGCGAAAGCCUGAUGCAUCCAUGCCGAGUGUAUGAAGAAGGCCUUCGGGUUGUAAAGUACUUUCAGCGGGGAAGCGUUACCCGCAGAAGAAGCACCGGCUAACUACGUUCCAGCGGCCGCCGUAAUAC
rnacentral:rRNA from 1 species